CCGGCGACCGGCGGACGGGCGCGUAACGCGUAUGUAACCUACCUUUGACAGGGGGAUAACAUCGAGAAAUUGGUACUAAUACCCCAUAACAUCACCGGAGGCAUCUUCGGUGGUUGAAAACUCAGGUGGUCAGAGAUGGACAUGCGUUGUAUUAGCUAGUUGGUGAGGUAACGGCUCACCAAGGCGACGAUACAUAGGGGGACUGAGAGGUCAACCCCCCACAUUGGUACUGAGACACGGACCAAACUCCUACGGAAGGCAGCAG
rnacentral:rRNA from 1 species